GACGAACGCUGGCGGCGUGCUUAACACAUGCAAGUCGAACGGAAAGGCCCUUCGGGGUACUCGAGUGGCGAACGGGUGAGUAACACGUGGGUGAUCUGCCCUGCACUUUGGGAUAAGCCUGGGAAACUGGGUCUAAUACCGAAUAGGACCACGCGCUUCAUGGUGUGUGGUGGAAAGCUUUUGCGGUGUGGGAUGGGCCCGCGGCCUAUCAGCUUGUUGGUGGGGUAAUGGCCUACCAAGGCGACGACGGGUAGCCGGCCUGAGAGGGUGACCGGCCACACUGGGACUGAGAUACGGCCCAGACUCCUACGGGAGGCAGCAGUGGGGAAUAUUGCACAAUGGGCGCAAGCCUGAUGCAGCGACGCCGCGUGAGGGAUGACGGCCUUCGGGUUGUAAACCUCUUUCAAUAGGGACGAAGCGCAAGUAACGGUACCUAUAGAAGAAGCACCGGCCAACUACGUG
rnacentral:rRNA from 1 species